GGAAUAUUGGACAAUGGGGGCAACCCUGACCGAGCGACGCCGCGUGCGGGAUGAAGGCCCUCGGGUCGUAAACCGCUGUCAGGAGGGAAGAAUCCUUCCGGGUCAAUACCCUGGAAGUUGACGGUACCUCCAGAGGACGCUCCGGCUAACUCAGUGCCAGCAGCCGCGGUAAUACGGAGGGAGCGAACGUUGUUCGGAUUUACUGGGCGUAAAGGGCGUGUAGGCGGUUCAGCAAGUCAGGGGUGAAAUGUCUCGGCUCAACCGGGAACCUGCCUCUGAAACUGCUGGGCUAGAGGUCGUGAGGGGAGACUGGAAUUCCUAGUGUAGCGGUGAAAUGCAUAGAUAUUAGGAAGAACACCAGUGGCGAAGGCGAGUCUCUGGCACGAUUCUGACGCUGAGGCGCGAAAGCUAGGGGAGCGAAC
rnacentral:rRNA from 1 species